CCCUACGCAAAUACCGGAUCUCAGAGAAAUCCCUAGAACUACCCUUUGACUCGUUCGAAAAUUUUUAUAGUUUUGCCCAAUACCCGGGUACACGACACUUCCCUUAUAACAGAACUAUAACACGGGUUCAUGGAUCGGCUCAUUACUUAGUUUUGCCAAUACCCGGGUACACGACACUUCCCUUAUAACCGACCUAUAACAUGGGUCUAGGAGGCAUCCGUGGACCCUUCCAAGACCAUACGCAAGAACCGGAUGAAGUAGAAUUCCCAAGACCUACCCUUUGACUUGUUCCAAAAUUUUUAUAGUUUCGCCAAUACCCGGGUACACGACACUUCCCUUAUAUCAGACCUAUAACACGGGUUUGUGAAUCGGCUCAUUACUUGGGUAUAGAAGGCGUCCGUGGACCAUUC
rnacentral:lncRNA from 1 species